rnacentral:rRNA from 1 species
GAUGAACGCUGACAGAAUGCUUAACACAUGCAAGUCAACUUGAAUUUGGGUUUUUAACUUAGGUUUGGGUGGCGGACGGGUGAGUAACGCGUAAAGAACUUGCCUCACAGCUAGGGACAACAUUUGGAAACGAAUGCUAAUACCUAAUAUUAUGAUAAUAGGGCAUCCUAUAAUUAUGAAAGCUAUAAGCGCUGUGAGAGAGCUUUGCGUCCCAUUAGCUAGUUGGAGAGGUAACGGCUCACCAAGGCGAUGAUGGGUAGCCGGCCUGAGAGGGUGAUCGGCCAAAAGGGGACUGAGACACGGCCCUUACUCCUACGGGGGGCAAGAGGGGGAAAUAUUGGAAAAGGGACCGGGAGUGUGAUCCAGCAUUUCUGGGGGGACGAAGAAGUUUUUGGGAAAGAAAAUUUUUUUCAGUUGGGAAGAAAAAAAUGAGGGUACCAAAAAAAGAAGGGACGGCAAAAUACGU